UGAAAAGUUUGUCUUUUCUAUCGACUAGAUUCUUAUUUCCCUCUGUCCCAUAGAUUUGUCUUGGCCUCCCUCCUAAAUCCCACAGAAGCUGCUUCCUCUUCCCUGGGAGAGGGUGUGAAGAUAGAAGCUUCCUCCAGUGAAGCAUCCACCCCAGCCCUGGACUUGAGACGGGAGAUGGAAACGAGGGGACCCUCCAGAGGCGGAGCAGCGUGCAGAGAGCGUGGGGCAAAGUCUGGAAGCAACAGUUCGAAACUCACAGAUGUUGCUGUUCUGACAGCCAAACGUCAAAGCAGUAUUGUUGCCCCAAUUUACAGGUGGGGAAACUGAGGCUUGUGGAGGAGAAGCAGCUUUGUGCUGGGUAACCGUCCACUGGUGGAGACAGGUCUGUGUGGCUCAGAAGCUGGGACAUACCUGGGAUGGUGCCUUUCCCCAGGGGGUCCUCUGAGGCCCCCACCUCGACACACACACGAGAGAUGGGCUGAGUUUCGGGGACCGUGAACAUCAAGGUAGUUCCACAGUGACAAGGUGCCCAGCUUGCAAGAUUAGUCAUACACCUUUCUGAUAAGAAAAGCGAAAAGGCGAAGUUGAGAACUGAAGACUUCCUGAAUCCAGCGCUCCACGUCCUGCGCUAAGGAACAGGCGACUCCCAAAAAGGAAUCGUUAGUGGAAGUCCCACGUUUCGCUGGCGAUGGAAGGGGAACUGGUGGGGGAGGCUGGUUUCAGGAUCUCACCUCACUGCCGGUGGCGGGGAGGGGGACCCCCACCUUCCCGCCGUGGGACGUCUUGCCACCCUGGGCUCCAAGGCCGGAGUCCGCACUGCGCUCUGCUGGGCUGGCCUGGCCCUGCCCUGGCACCUGUGUCGGGCAGCCAGCGCCUGCGUCUUCCUGAGCAGCUGCCAGCGCUGCCGCGUGGCAGGGCCACACUCUUGCAACACGGGCUGCUGAGGUUUCUGCGGCCCCUCCAGUCAGGAGGCAGCCCAGGUGCUGUGGGCAAGACAUGUGUGAGAGACUGAAUUAGACCCCCUUAAAAAAACACCAGGGCUGGUCUCGGGACCCACACCCCAUAACCGACAUCUAUGCCUGAAGCUGGUGCUUGGGUCUGGCCAGCGCAGUAGCAAAGAGCCUGGACCCUUCGGCCAGCUGUCCCGGAUGCAGCCUGCCUCCUCUCCUUACCUGCUGGUUAGCUCGGCAAGCCGCUCCCCUCAGUGGGCCUCAGCUUUCUCAUUUUUGCAAUGAAUGAAUUAAGUGGACCUCCAUCACAGGCAGCCUGCUAGGGCUGAGCGAAUUAAGGCUUGUAAAGCGCUGUCGUAGUGACAAGCGUGGCUCAGAAUGAAUGAGGGAGGGAAAGAGGGACUCCCCAAGUCCUGUGUACUGGAGACAGAGGGAGCUGAUGCACCCACUUAAAACACUGACUAGGAAGUAGUUUAAAGCAUACAGAAAAUUUAUCACAGUGCAAAGAGCAGACUCAUCUAUUUCUUUGUAAUGGCUGUACUAAGACAUAAUUCACAUGGCAUACAAGUCACUUACUGAACGUGUACAAUUCACAGACUUGUGAAACCAUCAUCACAGUGAAUUUUAGGACAUUUUCAUUACUCCCUUCCCCCAAAGCCCCGUACCCCUUGGCUACUGCCCCCCUCACCAAUUGUUACUACCCCCCUUUUUUCUAUUGAUACUUUUAUGCAUUUUUUAAACCUGUGAUUUCCAAUGUUCUUGAAUCUUGGGACCCUUUUAAGUGUUAAAAUAUGCUGCAGAGGCCUGACAGGCACUUUAUUCACUGAGCACGUGUUUACUGAGCAUCUGCUGUGUGCCAAGCAGGGUGCUCGGAGCUGUGGAUGCAACAGAGCGUGAACAGGUGUGGCCCUCUUUCUAUGGGGAAAGAGACCUAUUCAGAUGCUGGGAGGAGUCCAGUGUGGAAGGCGCUAGAAAAGAAACUACGUAAGGCCUCUAGAGAAGGCAGCAGGGGACUGCCCCAUGCCCAGGAGUGAG